AGUGAACGCUGGCGGUAGGCCUAACACAUGCAAGUCGAACGGCAGCACAGUAAGAGCUUGCUCUUACGGGUGGCGAGUGGCGGACGGGUGAGGAAUACAUCGGAAUCUACUUUUUCGUGGGGGAUAACGUAGGGAAACUUACGCUAACACCGCAUACGACCUACGGGUGAAAGCAGGGGAUCUUCGGACCUUGUGCGAUGGAAUGAGCCGAUGUCGGAUUAGCUAGUUGGCGGGGUAAAGGCCCACCAAGGCGACGAUCCGUAGCUGGUCUGAGAGGAUGAUCAGCCACACUGGAACUGAGACACGGUCCAGACUCCUACGGGAGGCAGCAGUGGGGAAUAUUGGACAAUGGGCGCAAGCCUGAUCCAGCCAUACCGCGUGGGUGAGGAAGGCCUUCGGGUUGUAAAGCCCUUUUGUUGGGAAAGAAAAGCAGCAGAUUAAUACACCACUGUUCUGACGGUACCCAAAGAGUAAGCACCGGCUAACUUCGUG
rnacentral:rRNA from 1 species